AACGAACGUUGGCGGCAUGGAUUAGGCAUGCAAGUCGCACGAAUCCCAUCUGGGUAACUGGGUGGGGAAAGUGGCGAAAGGGGCAGUAAGGCGUGGGUAACUUGCCCCGGAGUUCGGAAUAGCCUUCCUAACGGAUGGGUAAUACCGAAUGCCGUAUCGAGGGGGCAUCCUCUUGAUACGAAAGUUACGGCGCUCCGGGAGGGGCCCACGUAGUAUUAGCUAGUUGGUGAGGUAACGGCUCACCAAGGCCAAGAUGCUUAGCAGGUGUGAGAGCACGACCUGCGCCACUGGCACUGGGACACUGGCCAGACUCCUACGGGAGGCUGCAGUCGAGGAUCUUCGGCAAAUAGGGCGGCAAGACCU
rnacentral:rRNA from 1 species